UCCGGCUUUCACCGGCUGUCUCGCCAGAGUGCCCACCCGAAGUGCUGGCAACAUAGGACAAGGGUUGCGCUCGUUGCGGGACUUAACCCAACAUCUCACGACACGAGCUGACGACAGCCAUGCAGCACCUGUGUGCAGGUCCCCGAAGGGAAGGAGUCCAUCUCUGGAAACCGUCCUGCCAUGUCAAGGGCUGGUAAGGUUCUGCGCGUUGCUUCGAAUUGAACCACAUGCUCCACCGCUUGUGCGGGCCCCCGUCAAUUCCUUUGAGUUUCAGUCUUGCGACCGUACUCCCCAGGCGGAAUGCUUAAAGCGUUAGCGACGGCACCCGGGGACUUUAUAACCCCAGACACCAAGCAUUCAUCGUUUAAGGCCAGGACUAC
rnacentral:misc_RNA from 1 species